rnacentral:lncRNA from 1 species
UUAUUUGGAUUUUCUAUUAUGCUAAUCUAGGUUUACCAUUAUGGAACCUUCCAUCCACAAUCUAUCACUUCUCUACAUAAUCCUAGCUCUCCAGAGAAUACGACUUAAGACAAUACACUCAUAUUUUCUCAACUCUCCAUUUUCCUGCCUUAACAAUCUUCCCUCCAAUUCAAGAGCAACUGAGGAAAAACUACACAAACUCCCUAUCCUAACCCUUGGAUGUAGGACAAACCCUUCCCUCAUUUAAUCUUAGC